rnacentral:rRNA from 1 species
AAUGCUCUAGAUUAGAGUUGAUCAUGGCUCAGAUUGAACGCUGGCGGCAGGCCUAACACAUGCAAGUCGAACGGUAACAGGAAGCAGCUUGCUGCUUUGCUUGACGAGUGGCGGACGGGUGAGUAAUGUCUGGGAAACUGCCUGAUGGAGGGGGAUAACUACUGGAAACGGUAGCUAAUACCGCAUAACGUCGCAAGACCAAAGAGGGGGACCUUCGGGCCUCUUGCCAUCG